AUGCUGCCAGAGGGAGCUGGCCCAGCGUGGGCUGUGCCUGUGCCUGUCCUGACACGCAUCCCAGGUGGGCCAGGGGGCCCUGUGCCUUCCCCAAGCCCUGCACCAAGCCCAGAGGAUGGGGCUGGGGUGGGCUCGGGGGGGUGCUUGGGGUACUCUGUGCCAGUGAAACCCACAAUGGGCUGGCUGGGCUCCCUGCAGCUCUCCGGGGUGGGUGGAGUGCAGCCGUGCUGGGCAGAACCUCUGGCUGUGUCCACCUGGGCCUGCACCUCUUCACACAACACCGUCAGGGCCAAGAGGGGCCCUGCUCCCCGGGGAAGGGAUGGGAUGUGGGCCAGCACCGAGCUUUCCCACACUGCCGGCUGCUCCGCUGCCACUGCUCCCCUCACCCUCACCUUCUGCCGCUCCCUGCUGCUGCAUUUUGGGGGGGCCCUAGGGCUCACAUUAGGCUUUGCACUCGGGGAUAAAUCCAGAGGGAUUCAGCGUCUGCGAUGGCUGAGGCACUCCCUGGAGCUGGAAUCCUCUGCCCGCUGUUUUUCUGGAAUGAGAGGUCUGGACGCCCUGGAGCUGGACAUCCUACCGGAAUGAGAGUGACAGAGUUCCCCUCCAUNNNNNNNNNNNNNNNNNNNNNNNNNNNNNNNNNNNNNNNNNNNNGAGCACGGAGAAGCCCUGCUGUGGAGCCACGACCUCUGAACGCUGCAGCCGCCGCCCCCCUGGUGGGCAGUGGGGAGCCCACCAGGGUGCCCCGGGCACGGCAGGGGAUGGGCAGGCACCAGGAGCAGGGAGGGUGAGGCAGGUGCAGAGCCGGAGGCAGGGAAUGAGCGGAGCACGCCCAGCCCUUGGCUCGGCUCUCUUUUCCCUUCUCCUGUUUGGGAAAGCAAUGAGAAAUCCAAACAUUACCAUAAAUGCUGAAAGCAUCCUGACUCCGUCACUGGCGUGCGCUCCCUGGGGAUCCAGGCGCCCGCUGCCUCAGAGCCACAGGGACAGGGCUGGCGGCAGCCAGACAGCAGGACAGAGCCUAGGCGGGGACAGACAGACACAGAUGUGCCACCCUGGCCCCAGCCCUGCCUGCUCAGGGAGGCACCUGCAGGAAGGUGACCCCAGCUCCCUUCGGGGCUUGUGCCUCGCUGCCCAGGGUGUGGUGCUUCCCUCCUUGGCCCCACACUGGCCGGAGACUCCUGGGCUGCACAUGGCUUUCCCGUGGGUCAUCGUGCACUGCACUCGCCCUCUCCUUCCUUAAAAAGCCUUCAAGGCUGGAUUUUCCUGAACUUGUCAUCACCUUCAAGGCAGCAGGGCUGGACCAUCCCCUGGGGCACCGCAGAGCAGAGGCUUUUUUGGCUGGCAUCCAGCAGGGAGGGCAGGACCUGCUCCAGGACUGUAACCUUGGUUUGGGCCAUGGCCAUGGCUUUAUGUUCAAACCUCCUGCAGGAAACUGCUUGGCCGGGUGACCCUGGGCUGACUGUCCCAAACUGGCCCAGGGGAUCCCGCUGGCAAGUGCACACCCUCCCUGUGCCAGGUCUGAGGCUGGUACAAACUCAUCUCAUGCAUGGACACUGCAGGUGCUGGGAUCCCCCUGUGCUGCUUGGAG
rnacentral:lncRNA from 1 species